CAAAUUUUAAUUCCCCCCAAAACCAAAAGCAGGAAAGAAAACACAAGCAAUAACUGAUUCAUCACCUCCUCACUCCUGUUAGUCUAUUACUUAGAAACAGAACUCAAAUCCUACUAUUUUAGAAUCAAAAUCCUAACCCCCAACCCUAGCUCAAUUUUCCCAAUUUGACGACAUUGACUCGCGUUUUGCGUUCCUUUCUCUCGCCAUUGUCCUGGAAGGUUCUUUCGAGUGGAUGCGCCAGCUCCAUGGAGGCUUGCUCGGGCGGCGCGUGUGAGUUUCAUGGUUGAUUGCAGAGGCACGUUGGUCUCCGUUCUCUCCCAAACGAACGCUUGGAUGGCGUUCAGAAUCAAAAUCAUGAAUAACCCCUAAUUCCCUAAUCCCAUCCCUAACACAAUUUCCCCAAUUUCACAACACUGAUGCGUGCAUUCUGCGUUUCUCUCUGCUCUGCCGAGUUCUGCUCUACUCCGCCGUGUUCUUCUGCUCCACCGUGUUCUUCUCCUUGCAUCGAGUUCUGAUUUGCUCCACCAUGUUCUUCUGCUCGGGCCGAGGAAUUUCAUGUAACUCAAUUAGAUUACAGAAAGGCUAUUUGCAGAUAAAUAUGAGGCAGAGUUGUUAAGCAAGAAAUAUGAGGAGAAGUACAAACAUUGUAGCGGAAAUAACAUCCAAAUUGAUUGUUGAAUAAGCUAAAUUUCGUGAUAUACAGUUUGAAUGGGCUUGGCAGCACCCUGUCGAAUCCUUGCCUGUAAGGAAGGCAGCUGCAAAAUUUAAAUCUCUUUCGGGAGUUGCCAAUAAGAUCAAACUCGCAUACAUAAUUCUCACCUACCAUCUUGGCAGAGCAUGAAUAUGACAGUGAACUUCUCCACAAAGUAUAUGAAACAUUGUGCUGGUUGCCCAAGCUUGCCAGAGCACACGACGAUUGAGAUGGGCGAAAUGGAUCGGAUGAACUCCCAUGUUAUACUGGGAGAAUUGAUGGUUUGGUAUCAGAUAAUGAUGACAUUGAUGAAGGAGAGUUUGGUAAAAAUAAUAGUAAUGAAUAUACCAAAAUCAGUUAGUGCUUGUUUGGAUUUGUUUGCAUGUCCCUAAUGGAUAUUUGGUAUAUGAGUUAUAUAGAAAAUGAAAUUGGUUAGAAUAAUCAUGCUUCUCACUAUAGAAAAUGAAAUUACUGCUUAAUUAAUUCUAGUCCUGUAAAAUCACUACAAUGUUUCAUUGUUAUGAUAUAUUUAUCUGCCUAUGAUUUAAUCACUAAAUGAUGCUAGUUGAGUUUUUAAUAUCUAUUUUAAUUAGAAUUUCAUUAGUUAUUAAGGUUUUAUCUCUUUUUUGAAUUUCAUCACCUUUUGUUUGUUCUCAGAGCUAUACUACUGGAAAUGCAAUUCCAAGUCUUUUUAAAAAUGUGGAGAAAGUAUUUCUCAAAAAGUAUUGGGCCAAAUGAAAAGCAGACCAUACUGGUCGAAGGUAAAUCUAAUUUAUCAUACAAUGCAAUUUACACCAGGGCUAGCUGAUAUUAAUUUUUCUUCUGCAUUAAAUUUUAGAUCCUAAGCCAUACAAUGCAAUUUACACCAGACCGCUUGUGGCAUGAUUUGUUUCCUUCUCAAUAGAAAGUAUUAUUUAGAAACCCCCUCUUUCCAAGCCUCUUGGCUCUACUUUCUAAAGCCCCACAUAGUGAAGUAAAAAAGUCUAACUUGUUGAUUCUGACUAUGCCUAACAAUUUUUUAUUCAAGAUGAUGUAUAUUUGUGCCUCACAAAUUAAGAGAGGUACGUAGUAGGCUGGCAAAUUGGUAAGUCUUUCAAUUAUUGAGACCUUGUUAUUAUCUUGAAAGCUUUGGACAGAUGAAGCUUGGAUUACUAAUUUACAGAUUUUACUGUAAUGAAUGGAUUUAGGUUAUUUAUCUAUUUCUUCCAUGCUGUCAGGUCCUGUCUCCAUUAAAGGAUGGAAUUGUUGCAGAUUGGGACAUUGUUGACAACAUAUGGGAUCAUGCCUUCAGGAGAUUGAUAAAAAAUAUUUGCGGAUCUUUAGUGAACACUAAGUAUAAAUUGUGCAUAUAUAGCAAAUUGUUGCGGCAUCACCUCAUUUAGCAUAUGGAACAAGUGAAACAUGGAUAUAAAAUAUGCAAGUAGAUUGACAUCUUUUUGAUAAAUAUUAAUUACUAUUUUGUUAUGAUAAUUAUUGUUAGCCAAGAAUUUUAUUAUUUUGUUAAAAAUUAUUGAUGAACAUGAAUUUGAAAUACUAAUUGAACUUUUUAAUAUC